rnacentral:rRNA from 1 species
AGUGAACGCUGGCGGUAGGCCUAACACAUGCAAGUCGAACGGAAGCACAGUAAGAGCUUGCUCUUACGGGUGGCGAGUGGCGGACGGGUGAGGAAUACAUCGGAAUCUACUUUUUCGUGGGGGAUAACGUAGGGAAACUUACGCUAAUACCGCAUACGACCUACGGGUGAAAGCAGGGGAUCUUCGGACCUUGCGCGAUUGAAUGAGACGAUGUCGGAUUAGCUAGUUGGCGGGGUAAAGGCCCACCAAGGCGACGAUCCGUAGCUGGUCUGAGAGGAUGAUCAGCCACACUGGAACUGAGACACGGUCCAGACUCCUACGGGAGGCAGCAGUGGGGAAUAUUGGACAAUGGGCGCAAGCCUGAUCCAGCCAUACCGCGUGAGUGAAGAAGGCCUUCGGGUUGUAAAGCCCUUUUGUUAGGAAAGAAAAGCAGCAGGUUAAUACCCCGCUGUUCUGACGGUACCCAAAGAAUAAGCACCGGCUAACUUCGUG